AAUGACGUUGUAUAUGGCAAUUUAAUUAUCCUUGCAGCUGAUCAUACAUUAUUUCCUUGUGGAACUGUAGUUAAAGUAAAUAAUGGAAUUCUUAAUGAAUUUACAGGUAUAGUUCUUGAUACAGGAAUAGCUAUGCGUAAAGCAUGGAGAAAUGAUGGAAUAGUUUGGAUGGACUUAGCUUUUUCUAGUCAAAAAGAGGCUUUAUAGCGGUUAGGCGUGGAUAAUACUCGGGCAUAAGCAUAUUACCGAAGCUAUGGAACCGUAAGGUUGGUAGGGGAGCAUUCUAUUGGCGUCGAAGGAGUGAGAUAACUCAUUCUGGAGCGAAUAGAAAAGCAAAUGUAGGUAUAAGUAACGAUAAAGGGGGUGAGAAACCUCCUCGCCGGAAGACUAAGGAUUCCUGAUCAACGCUAAUCGGAUCAGGGUAAGUCGGGGCCUAAGGUUCAACCGAACGGUGAGACCGAUGGAAGAACAGGUUAAUAUUCCUGUACUAGUAUAAUGAGUGAUGUGGAGACGGAGAAGUGAUAGUCGUGCGAACUGACGGAAUAGUUCGUUGAAGGGUGUAGAUGUAGAUAGAGGCAGGCAAAUCCACCUCUAGAGUCGAACCUGACAGUACCUUGAGUUCUUGAACGAAGGGAUAUCGAUGUAAACAGGCUCCCAAGAAAAUCCGCUAAACAUAUUGUUAUACUACCCGUACUACAAACGGACACACGUGGUCAAGUAGAGAGUACUAAGGCGCUCGAGUGAUUCGCGGCUAAGGAACUAGGCAAAAUAGACCUGUAACUUCGGGAAAAGGGUCACCAUCUGAAAGAUGAUGGUCGCAGAAAAAUGGCUCAGGCGACUGUUUAACAAAAACAUAGGGCUUUGCGAAAUCGAAAGAUGAGGUAUAAGGCCUGACACCUGCCCGGUGCUGGAAGGUUAAGAGGAGAAGUCAUCGCAAGAGAAGCUUUGAAUUGAAGCCCCAGUAAACGGCGGCCGUAACUAGACCGGUCCUUUGGUAGCGAUAUUCCUUGUCGGGUACGUUCCGACCUGCACGAAUGGUGUAACGAUCUGAGCACUGUCUCAGCCGCGAGCUCGGUGAAAUUGUAGUAUCGGUGAAGAUGCCGAUUACCCGCAACGGGACGGAAAGACCCCGUGAACCUUUACUGCAACUUAACAUUGAGUUUGGGUAAUUGAUGUGUAGGAUAGGCCGGAGGCUAAGAAUCAGGCACGCCAGUGUUUGUGGAGCCAUCCUUGAAAUACGGCCCUUCAAUUAUUUGAGCUCUAACUCCUAAGGGGAGGACACUGUUUGGUGGGUAGUUUGACUGGGGUGGUCGCCUCCAAAAGCGUAACGGAGGCUUCCAAAGGUACCCUCAGGCCGAUUGGUAACCGGUCGCAGAGUGUAAUGGUAUAAGGGUGCUUGACUGUGAGACCAACAAGUCGAACAGGUAGGAAACUAGGGCAUAGUGAUCCGGUGGUUCCGUAUGGAAGGGCCAUCGCUCAAAGGAUAAAAGGUACUCCGGGGAUAACAGGC
rnacentral:rRNA from 1 species